rnacentral:misc_RNA from 1 species
GCUCGCCGCAAGUUCUCCAGCUGCUUUUGCACCCACUCCAGAAUUCAAACGCGAGGAAUUCAAGGCUCAUCCCCAUCAUUGUCGCUGUAAUGGCAAUCGAAGUUGGGCGCCCCCCUCACACGCCCAUCUAUGUCCCUCUAUAUAAACGCCUUAUUUAUUUUUUUUUUCUUUUUUUGAUAAGCUCUCUUUAUAGUUUCUUGUUUUGAGUAGAGCAUGCAAAUUCUCUCUGAAGUUCCAGAGACUGAUGUGAAUGAUCCAGUGAGUGCCUGAGUCACUUUAUAUGAUUCAUAGUCCUUGUAUAAUGUAUCAGAAAUAGAAGUUGAUUAUGGUCUCAUUUUCUGAACUUAAUCCCUUUUAAGUAGUCAAGAGGGAACCAGCCUUGUUCAGUGUAACAGUACAAGUUACCUUGAUAUUCCAACAUUUGAGUGAAUUCUGUGUUUUAAGUACCUUAGUUUUUGGGCUUCUUGUCUUUUAUUUUCAAAUUGCAGAAGUUUGUGUUUUGAGUGUGUAAU